rnacentral:rRNA from 1 species
UACGUAGGGUGCAAGCGUUAAUCGGAAUUACUGGGCGUAAAGCGUGCGCAGGCGGUUGUGCAAGACCGAUGUGAAAUCCCCGGGCUUAACCUGGGAAUGGCAUUGGUGACUGCACGGCUAGAGUGUGUCAGAGGGGGGUGGAAUUCCACGUGUAGCAGUGAAAUGCGUAGAGAUGUGGAGGAACACCGAUGGCGAAGGCAGCCCCCUGGGCUGAGAUUGACGCUCAGGCACGAAAGCGUGGGGAGCAAACAGG